rnacentral:rRNA from 1 species
UGGGGAAUAUUGCACAAUGGGCGCAAGCCUGAUGCAGCAACGCCGCGUGAACGAUGAAGGUCUUCGGAUCGUAAAGUUCUGUUGCAGGGGAAGAUAAUGACGGUACCCUGUGAGGAAGCCCCGGCUAACUACGUGCCAGCAGCCGCGGUAAUACGUAGGGGGCUAGCGUUAUCCGGAUUUACUGGGCGUAAAGGGUGCGUAGGUGGUCUUUCAAGUCGGUGGUUAAAGGCUACGGCUCAACCGUAGUUAGCCUCCGAAACUGCAAGACUUGAGUGCAGGAGAGGAAAGUGGAAUUCCCAGUGUAGCGGUGAAAUGCGUAGAUAUUGGGAGGAACACCAGUAGCGAAGGCGGCUUUCUGGACUGCAACUGACACUGAGGCACGAAAGCGUGGGUAGCAAACAGG